rnacentral:rRNA from 1 species
CCUACGGGAGGCAGCAGUGAGGAAUAUUGGUCAAUGGACGCAAGUCUGAACCAGCCAUGCCGCGUGCAGGAAGACGGCUCUAUGAGUUGUAAACUGCUGUUGUACGAGGGUAAACCCAGAUACGCGUAUCGGGCUGAAAGUAUCGUACGAAUAAGGAUCGGCUAACUCCGUGCCAGCCGCCGCGGUAAUACAGAGGUGCCCAGCGUUGUCCGGAUUUAUUGGGUUUAAAGGGUGUGCAGCCGGAGAGAGAAGUUAGAGGUGAAAUGAACGGGCUCAACCCCUGAACUGCAUUUGAAACUGUGUGCCUAGAGAGUAGGUGAGGUAAGCGGAAUGUAUGGUGUAGCGGUGAAAUGCUUAGAGAUAAGGCAGAACACCAAUUGCGAAGGCGGAUUACCGGACGAUAUCUGACGUUGAGGCGCGAAAGCGUGGGGAGCAAACAGGAUUAGAUACCCGAGUAGUC